UUAAUUGAAGAGUUUGAUCAUGGCUCAGAUUGAACGCUGGCGGCAGGCCUAACACAUGCAAGUCGAACGGUAACAGGAAGAAGCUUGCUUCUUUGCUGACGAGUGGCGGACGGGUGAGUAAUGUCUGGGAAACUGCCUGAUGGAGGGGGAUAACUACUGGAAACGGUAGCUAAUACCGCAUAACGUCGCAAGACCAAAGAGGGGGA
rnacentral:rRNA from 1 species